rnacentral:rRNA from 1 species
GACGAACGCUGGCGGCGUGCUUAAUACAUGCAAGUCGAGCGAGGCCCAUCCAGUGGCAACACUGGGGAAGGCCGAGCGGCGAACGGGUGAGUAACACGUGAGCAACCUGCCCCGAAGUCUGGAAUAACAUCGGGAAACCGGUGCUAAUACCGGAUUGCCCCACCUGACCGCAUGAUCGGGUGAGGAAAGAUUUAUCGCUUCGGGAGGGGCUCGCGGCCUAUCAGCUAGUUGGCGGGGUAACGGCCCACCAAGGCGUCGACGGGUAGCUGGUCUGAGAGGACGACCAGCCACACUGGGACUGAGACACGGCCCAGACUCCUACGGGAGGCAGCAGUAGGGAAUCUUGCGCAAUGGGCGAAAGCCUGACGCAGCAACGCCGCGUGGGGAGUGACGGCC